rnacentral:rRNA from 1 species
UACGUAGGGUGCAAGCGUUAAUCGGAAUUACUGGGCGUAAAGCGUGCGCAGGCGGUUGUGCAAGACCGAUGUGAAAUCCCCGGGCUUAACCUGGGAAUGGCAUUGGUGACUGCGCGGCUAGAGUGUGUCAGAGGGGGUAGAAUUCCACGUGUAGCAGUGAAUGCGUAGAGAUGUGGAGGAAUACCGAUGGCGAAGGCAGCCCCCUGGGAUAACACUGACGCUCAUGCACGAAAGCGUGGGGAGCAAACAGG